AUUGAACGCUGGCGGCAUGCCUUACACAUGCAAGUCGAACGGUAACGCGGGGGCAACCUGGCGACGAGUGGCGAACGGGUGAGUAACGCAUCGGAACGUGCCCAGUAGUGGGGGAUAGCCCGGCGAAAGCCGGAUUAAUACCGCAUACGACCUAAGGGUGAAAGCGGGGGAUCGCAAGACCUUGCGCUAUUGGAGCGGCCGAUGUCAGAUUAGGUAGUUGGUGGGGUAAAGGCCUACCAAGCCUGCGAUCUGUAGCUGGUCUGAGAGGGCGACCAGCCACACUGGGACUGAGACACGGCCCAGACUCCUACGGGAGGCAGCAGUGGGGAAUUUUGGACAAUGGGGGAAACCCUGAUCCAGCCAUGCCGCGUGCGGGAAGAAGGCCUUCGGGUUGUAAACCGCUUUUGUCAGGGAAGAAAAGGCGCAGUUUAAUACAUUGCGACAAUGACGGUACCUGAAGAAUAAGCACCGGCUAACUACGUGCCAGCAGCCGCGGUAAUACGUAGGGUGCGAGCGUUAAUCGGAAUUACUGGGC
rnacentral:rRNA from 1 species